rnacentral:rRNA from 1 species
ACUCCUGCGGGAGGCAGCAGUGGGGAAUUUUGGACACUGGGCGAAAGCCUGAUCCAGCAAUGCCGCGUGUGUGAAGAAGGCCUUCGGGUUGUAAAGCACUUUUGUCCGGAAAGAAAUCCUUGGCUCUAAUACAGUCGGGGGAUGACGGUACCGGAAGAAUAAGCACCGGCUAACUACGUGCCAGCAGCCGCGGUAAUACGUAGGGUGCGAGCGUUAAUCGGAAUUACUGGGCGUAAAGCGUGCGCAGGCGGUUUGCUAAGACCGAUGUGAAAUCCCCGGGCUCAACCUGGGAACUGCAUUGGUGACUGGCAGGCUAGAGUAUGGCAGAGGGGGGUAGAAUUCCACGUGUAGCAGUGAAAUGCGUAGAGAUGUGGAGGAAUACCGAUGGCGAAGGCAGCCCCCUGGGCCAAUACUGACGCUCAUGCACGAAAGCGUGGGGAGCAAACAGGAUUAGAUACCCCUGUAGUCCC